rnacentral:rRNA from 1 species
ACAAGCAGCGGAGCGUGUGGUUUAAUUCGAUGAUACACGAAGAACCUUACCCAGGCUUGACAUGUUGGUGGUAGGGAUCCGAAAGGUGACCGACCUUCGGGGAGCCUUCACAGGUGCUGCAUGGCUGUCGUCAGCUCGUGUCGUGAGAUGUCCGGUUAAGUCCGGUAACGAGCGCAACCCUCGCUGUGUGUUAUAUGUGUCACACGGGACUGCCGGUAUCAAGCCGGAGGAAGGUGGGGAUGACGUCAAGUCAGCAUGGCCUUUAUGUCUGGGGCUACACACACGCUACAAUGGCCAGUACAAUAGGUUGCAAGACCGCGAGGUGGAGCCAAUCCUUAAAGCUGGUCUCAGUUCGGAUUGCAGACUGCAACUCGCCUGCAUGAAGUUGGAAUCGCUAGUAAUCGCUGAUCAGCAGGCAGCGGUGAAUACGUUCCCGGGCCUU